UACGAAGGGGGCUAGCGUUGCUCGGAAUCACUGGGCGUAAAGGGUGCGUAGGCGGGUCUUUAAGUCAGGGGUGAAAUCCUGGAGCUCAACUCCAGAACUGCCUUUGAUACUGAAGAUCUUGAGUCCGGGAGAGGUGAGUGGAACUGCGAGUGUAGAGGUGAAAUUCGUAGAUAUUCGCAAGAACACCGGUGGCGAAGGCGGCCAACUGGACCAUUACUGACGCUGAGGCGCGAAAGCGUGGGGAGCAAACAGG
rnacentral:rRNA from 1 species